rnacentral:rRNA from 1 species
CUUUAGUUUGAAACCCCGAAACCAGGUGAGCUACCCCGAGACAGCCUAUUUACUUAGGGCUAACCCGUCUCUGUGGCAAAAGAGUGGGAAGAGCUCCGGGUAGAAGUGACAGACCUACCGAACCUGGUGAUAGCUGGUUGUCUGAGAGAUGGAUAGAAGUUCAGCCCUAUUACGCCCCCGACCAAAACACACCGCUCAAGGUGCAAGGGAAAUAUUUAGGAGUUAGUUAGAGGGGGUACAGCCCCUCUAACAAAGGAUACAACCUUAUAAAGGAGAAUAAAGAUCAUAAUCUACAAGACAUACUGUUCUAGUGGGCCUAAAAGCAGCCACCUAAACAGAAAGCGUUAAAGCUCAGACAGAAAGAAGUUUAUUAUAAUGAUAACAAAUCUUAUUUCCCUAAUAAUAUCAGACCACCCCAUGCCCGCAUGGAAGAAAUUAUGCUAAAAUGAGUAACAAGAAGACUUGCUCUUCUCCAAGCACAAGUGUAAGCCAGAUCGGACAAGCCGCUGGAAAUUAACGAACUCAACCAAAAGAGAGUACUGCGGAUAAUAAAAAAACCAAGAAAACCCCGCAACCAGGCAUCGUUAACCCCACACUGGAAUGCUAUAAUAAAGGAAAGACUAAAAGAAAGGGAAGGAACUCGGCAAACACAAGCCUCGCCUGUUUACCAAAAACAUCGCCUCCUGCAACUAAACCAAGUAUAGGAGGUCCAGCCUGCCCAGUGACUAAGGGUUCAACGGCCGCGGUAUUUUGACCGUGCAAAGGUAGCGCAAUCACUUGUCUUUUAAAUAGAGACCUGUAUGAAUGGCUAAACGAGGGCUUAACUGUCUCCCCCUUCGGGUCAGUGAAAUUGAUCUAUCCGUGCAGAAGCGGAUAUAAUUAUACAAGACGAGAAGACCCUUUGGAGCUUAAGGUACAAAACUUAACCACGUCAAACAACUUAAUCAAAAAGCAAGAACUUAGUGGGCCAUAAGACUUUACCUUCGGUUGGGGCGACCGCGGAGGAAAAUCCAGCCUCCGAGUGGAAUGGGCCAAACCCCCUAAAACUAAGAGAAACAUCUCUAAGCCGCAGAACAUCUGACCAAAAAUGAUCCGGCUAAAGUCGAUCAACGAACCAAGUUACCCUAGGGAUAACAGCGCAAUCCUCUCCCAGAGUCCAUAUCGACGAGGGGGUUUACGACCUCGAUGUUGGAUCAGGACAUCCUAAUGGUGCAGCCG